rnacentral:rRNA from 1 species
UACGUAGGGGGCGAGCGUUGCCCGGAAUGAUUGGGCGUAAAGGGCGCGUAGGCGGCCCGGUAAGUCUGAAGUGAAAGUCCUGAUUUUAAGUUGGGAAUUGCUUUGGAUAUUGUCGGGCUUGAGUGCAGGAGAGGUAAGCGGAAUUCCCUGUGUAGCGGUGAAAUGCGUAGAGAUUGGGAGGAACACCAGUGGCGAAGGCGACUUACUGGACUGUAACUGACACUGAGGCACGAAAGCGUGGGGAGCAAAC